UACAUAAAAAUCUUAUGAGGAUUUUUCUGU
rnacentral:piRNA from 1 species